rnacentral:lncRNA from 1 species
AUUCAGUGUGGCUGGAUUUAUGGAGAGAUCUUUGAUCCACUUGCACUUAAGUUUCAUGCGUGGUAACAGGCUGAAUCCUGCAUGGAAGACGGUCAAUGAAAAACCAGUGCGUAGACUGCCAUCUACUGGACAACCAGAAAACAAACUGCUGAGUCGCCCUAGGACCUUGAGCAACAAAGGCAAAAAGGCAAAAUUAUGAAUACAUCAGUGGAACAGACAGGAGCAUGUAGGCACAACAAUGGUCCAGUUUGAAAUGAUUAUUUGCAAAAGAGUGUACAUUUCUACUUUCAAUGUUUGUACAGAGUCACUGGAGUUAUGACAAUAAAAUGAUUUUCAAAUUGUGAUUCCUUGAUACACCCAGGGAGCAGAGACGACUCAGAACUUCUAGUGACAUAUCAAAAACAGAUAUGAGGAAUGUUCCCUUCCC